GCCCCCCUGGCCUGAGCACCAGGUGGUGCCAGCGUGGGGCUCACUGCAGGGGCUGUGGAUCCUCCACAAGCUCAUCCUGCAGACAGGGAUUCCCUGUUCCUAAUACGAGGCAUGAAGAACUGCAGGCCCCCCUUGGUUCUUGUUCUGUCGGUGUCAUGCAUCCCUUGGGAUAAAGGGACUUCUCUGCCCAGCAUCGCUGGGGCAGAACCAGGAACCAGACCCGAUCUGAAGCUGCUGGAUCCCUCCUGCUGCUUGGAGCCAUCCCAGCCUUUGGUGGGGAGCUCCGUGCUGCCUGGGCAUGUUCAUCCAAGAGCUGUGGCUCAGCGCAGUGGCUACAGCUCUCCAACAACAUGCCAGAGCAAUGGAAGGUCUUUGACUGCUGGGCUUCUCCUGCCCGUUGCUGUCACUCGCCCCUCCUAUAGACCCCCAGGAAUGUGGGGUGUACCCAGCAGUCUGCAGCCUGCUCCUCAUGUGGGGGUGUUCUUGUUCCUCCAGGGUCAUUUGGCUGCUGGAUGAUGACCGUGACCUGCCGGUGCUUAGGCCUCAGGAAUUACUUGGUGGAAAAGAGCUGCUGAGCCCCUCUCUGUGGGGAAGGGAUAGGCUUUGCCUGCCUUAGGGCCUGCAUCGUGGGAAGCUGACGUGGAACCGGGUCUGCAUGGAGCUGAGGUGUGAGCUGGCCCUUGAGGGCUGCAGGAGCUCUGCAGAGCCACAUCCUGGCUCCUUCCUGAGCUCCACUCACUGCACCCACCAAGAGGGACCCUGCCUGGCUCCUGCUGCAGCCCUGCGUGGAAGGACUGGAGUUUUCCAAGGAGAAGAGCUUGGAGGGGAGGGUCUGGGUAUGGAAUG